rnacentral:lncRNA from 1 species
AGAUUCCCUAGUUUUCUUUUUCUUAUCUUUGUUUUCUUUUGAGACAGGUCUUCACUCUGUCAGCCAGGCUGGAGUAUAGUGGCACAAUCAUGGCUCACUGCAGCCUCAACCUCCUGGGCUGAAGUAGUUCUCCCACCUCAGCCUCCCAAGUAACCGGGACUACAGGUGCAUGCCACCAUGCUCCGUAAGUUUUUAUAUUUUUUGUAGAAAUGGGGUCUCACUAUGUGGGCCAGGCUCUUCUUGAACUCCUGGAUUCAAGACGUCCACCUGCCUCAGCCUCCCAAAGUGCCAAGAUUACAAGCAUGAGCCACUGCAUCUGGCUGAUUCCUUUGUUUUCUUUUUCUCUUUGCCCAUUGCCUGGAUUCCAUAAGCAGAAAGAAAACCCAGGGGCUGACUUUGUAGGCAAGACUCUUUUCUUUUCAAAACAUAAAUUGGUUCAAGUGGUACCAAAACUGAAACAUGUUUACAACUUAACAUCUUUUCUUCCUACCCCUUCAAUCUCUUGAGCAAUGAGAAAAGACACUGAGCUCUUUAUUUGUGUAGGGAAAAGAGAGAUCAAACUGUCACUGUGUCUAUGUAGAAAAGAAAGACAUAAGAGUCUCCAUUUUGAAAAAGACCUGUACUUUAAACAAUUGCUUUGCUGAGAUGUUGUUCAUUUGUAGCUUUGCCCCAGCCACUUUGACCCAACUUGGAGCUCACAAAAACAUGUGUUGUAUAAAAUCUAGGUUUAGGGGAUCUAGGGCUGUGCAGGAUGUGACUUGUGAACAAAACGUUUACAAGCAGUAUACUCGGUAAAAGUCAUUGCCAUUCUCUAGUCUCAAUAAACCGAGGGCACAAUGCACCGUGGAAAGCCGAAGGGACCUCUGCCUUUGAAAGCAGGGUAUUGUCCAAGGUUUCUCCCCAUGUGAUAGUCUGAAAUAUGGCCUCGUGGAAUGAGAAAGACCUGACUGUUCCCCAGCCUGACACCCGUAAAGGGUCUGUGCUGAGGUGGAUUAGUAAAAGAGGAAAGCCUCUUGCAGUUGAGAUGGAGGAAGGCCACUGUCUCCUGCUUGCCCCUGGGAACUGAAUGUCUCAGUGUAAAACCCGAUUGUACAUUUGUUCAACUCUGAGAUAGGAGAAAAGCUGCCCUGUGGCAGGAGGGGAGACAUGUUUGCAGUAAUGCUGCCUUGUUAUUCUUUACUCCGCUGAGAUGUUUGGGUGGAGAGAAACAUAAAUCUGGCCUACGUGCACGUCCAGUCAUAGUACCUUCCCUUGAACUUAAUUAUGAUACAGAUUCCUUUGCUCACAUGUUUUUUGUUGACCUUCUCCUUAUUAUCACACUGCUCUCCUACUACAUUCCUUUCUGCUGAAAUAAUGAAAAUCAUGAUCAACAAAAACUGAGGGAACUCAGAGGCCGGUGCCGGUGCAGGUCCUUGCUGUGCUGAGUGCCGGUCCCCUGGACCCACUGUUGUUUCUCUAUACAUUGUCUCUGUGUCUUCUUUUCUCCGUCUCUCAUCCCACCCGACUAGAAAUACCCACAAGUGUGGAGGGGCAGGCCAACCCUUCAAUUUGGUGACACAUAGCCUGUGCCCUCAAAGAACACUGACACCCCCGUAACAUCCAUUCGAAGAGCUUCUCCAUACCUCCCCUCCUUUAUCCCCAAGGACACUGGGUCAGAGAUCACGGAGUCAUUCACAACAUGAUGUUUAACACCGAGACGCUCUGCAAUUGCUCCUUCAAAACGACUCAGAAGAAGAUCCAGUGCUGAGACAAUCGUGUUCUCUCUCUGGAUCACUGCCCAGAGACAAGGACUGCCAGAGACCCUGGCUUCCCCAGCUGCUGCAUCUCAUUCCUGCGCCUGUGGGAGGAGAGUUCGAAGCUGUGUGACCUUGACCAAGUUACUUACCCUCUCUAAGCAUAUGUUUCCCUAAAUGUGAAAUAGGGAUGAUGGUGAUGUGUUUAUUUCACAGAUUUGAUAGAAGGAUUAAAUGAGAGAUGCACCAAAAGCAGUGGGCACAGGGUCAAUGCUCAGUGAGCUUUCUCUUUUCUUAUCAAUAGACAGGUCUUCAUGAGGACAGAGACUGGCUUCAUCUCGACUGUAGCCUCAGGGCUGGCCACGGUGUCUGCACCCAGCAGGACUUCAGUAAAUAUCUGUUUAUACACUAACCUCAGACUUAGGCAUAAAAGCCCUUUGGAAGAAAGUUGACCAUUUCAUGCACCUUCAGACUAUGAAGAGCAGUGAUGACAACUUUAGCUUGAGAGGGUCUCAGUGCCCAUUCAUCACCACUGUGAAAAGGCAGAAACCAGAGCUGUGUGCUUAACUCCCAGCCCCAAAACCUGUUGGCUUUGCUUUAUCACUAUGAGCUUCCAACGGCAUCCCUUUAGAAUGGGGCAUCUCUCUUCUUCCCCAAGGCACCAGCCUUCACCCCAGACCUAUCCUUAUUAGCUGGUGUCUCCUCUCUGUACUCUGAGCCCAUGCUGUGCUCGUCAGAUAGCAACAUGGGAGAAUACAGCAGCCCAGAAUGCAGGCUGCAGAGUUAGAUCCCCAGAACAGGAUCUCAGCCGGCUCCAUCCUUCCUCAGCUGGGCGACCGUGGCCAUUGACUUCCUCUCUGUGCCUGAGUUGCCCCAUCUGUGAAAUGAAGAUUGUCAUAGUCCCUGCUUCAGAGUCACUGGGAGGAUUAACUGAGAAAAUGCAGGGAAGGUGCUUGGAACUAAAUGUUCAAAAAAAGUCCAUCUGGCCAGGCACGGUGUCUCACGCCUGUAAUCCCAGCACUUCGGGAGACCGAGGCAGGUGGAUCACUUGAGGUCAGGAAUUCAAGACCAGCCUGGUCAACAUGGCAAAACCCCGACUCUACUAAAAAUACAAAAAUUAGCCAGGCAUGGUGGCAGGCACCUGUAAUCCCAGCUACUUGGGAGGCUGAGGCAUGAGAAUCUCUUGAACCUGGGAGGCAGAGGUUGCAGUGAGCCGAAAUUGUGCCACUGCACUCCAGCAUGGGCAACAAGAGCAAAACUCUGUCUCAAAAAAAAAAAAAAGUCCAUCAUUCUUAUUAAUGGAGGCCAAAUCAUCUCAGCGCUUCUUUGGAUGAUCAGUACCCUCCAAGCCAGUGUUAUCCAAUAGACCAGAGGUCCCCAUCCCCCAGACCACAGACCAGUAGUGGUCUGUGGCCUGUUAGGAACUGGGCUGCACAGAAGGAGGUGAGCAGUGGGCUAGUGAGUGAAGCUUCAUCUGUAUUUACAGCUGCUCCCCAUGGCUAGCAUUACCGCCUGAGCUCUGCCUCUUGUUAGAUCAGCAGCGGCAUUAGAUUCUGAUAGGAGCACCAACCCUAUUGUGAACUGCCUGUGGAAGGGAUCUAGGUUGUGUGCUCCUUAUGAGAAUCUAAUGCCUGAUGAUCUGUCACUGUCUCCCACCACCUGGAGAAGGGGUUAUCUAGCUGCAGGAAAACAAGCGCAGGGCUCCCACUGAUUCUACAUUAUGGUGAGUUGUAUAAUGAUUUCAUUAUAUAUUAUAAUGUUAAUAACAAUAGAAACAAAGUACACAAUAAAUGUAAUGCACUUGAAUCAUCCUGAAACUUCCCCCCACAAAUACAUGGAAACUGGUCCUUGGUGCUAAAAAAAAUUGGGGACCACUGCAAUAGACUAUUCAGUCAUGGUCCAAUCAAACAUUCUGCAAUGGCGGACUUGCUCUACUCUGCACUAUCCAACAUGGGAGCUGCUAGACAUCCACAUGGGCUGAUGAGCCCUUGAAAUGUGGCUGGUGAGAAUGAAGAACUGAAUUUUCAAUUUUCUCUUAACUAAAUUUUUUUUUGAGACAGAGUCUCACUCUCUCCUCCAGGCUGGAAUGCAGUGGUGCAAUCUCGUCUCACUACAACCUCCAUCUCCCAGGUUCAAGCAAUUCUCCUGCUUCAGCCUCCUGAGUAGCCAGGAUUACAAGAACCCACCAUCAUGCCCGGCUAAUUUUUGUAUUUUUGUAGAGACGAGAUUUCACCAUGUUGGCCAGGCUGAUCUUGAACGCCUGACCUCAGGUGAUCUGCCCAACUUGGCUUCCCAAAAUGCUGGGAUUACAGGUGUGCCACCAUGCCCGGCCUUAAUUCAUUUCUAAAUCACAAAAUCUAAACAACGAGUGGCUAGGAGCUACCAUAGUGUACAAGGCAGCUGUGGAAUCACAGGAAAUUGUCAAUGACCCUGUCCUGCUUCAAGUUGACUUUUCCCCCUCAUGGUGAGACUCUAGAUUCUUUCCUCUUCUCUCACAUUUUUUAGACUUUCAGGAUUAGACCAUGAAAAUAAGUUCUGUCCUUCCAAGAAAAUAACGUUCAUAACACUUACUAUAUACCAGGCUGAUUUCAGUGCUUUACAUGUAUUAAUUUACAACAACUCUGAGGCAGGAGCUGUGAUUACGCCCAUUUAACAGAUGACAAAACUGAGGCACAAAGCAGUGCUGGAACUUCUCAAAGUCACACAGGUAGCAGGAGGCAGAGCUCGGAUUUGAACUCACUUUGGGUUCAGCAACUCACAGCUCUCACCUAUGACAUAAUAUUACUUCUGUUGUCAAAACACUUAGACCUGGAUUUCACAGGAAUCUUGUGCUUGCCUGGCUGCUAGGGAGGUUUUCAUCAUCUUCCUUAUCUCACAGUUCAAAACCCAGGGCCUCCAUGCUCUUGCUCUGGUGACCGUUCACUGGCAGGAGGCUUCUGGGAAGGUUCUCCUUUUCUGUCAUUUUUCUUAUUCGUGGUUUUUUGUUUCAUUGGUGUUUAUCUGCAGAACUUUGUUUCCUUCUGCUCAAUUCAUAAUCAGAGUGCUUUUCCUCCUGGCUCAAUUCAUAAGUGUUUAUGUAAAAAGAGGUUGGGCACAGAGCCAGGCGACUGAGGACACCCGGCUCAUCUGGCAAGUGGAUAUCAAAUUGUUGUAUCUCGUUCUGCCAUUCCCGGCUCCUGCUGUGGGGCUGGGUCAUCUGCCAGCUCUCCAAGGAGCUGGUGGGAAACCACUGCAAUCAGAGCGAACCGCUGCCCGGGUGAGCCCGCCUAGGCACAGCACUCCAGCUGCCCCCAGUGCCUUUUGGGGACACAUCUGCAUUGCCAGUAAUGCUGCCAGAACCCAUCAAGACACCCAGGAACUGAUGUGCCUUGGCAGAUGAUGCUGGAAAGAUGGGAUUCCCGGCAGCCCUUGCAUCUGUUGCUCACAGCCCACAAGCAUCUCCACUGUCCAGCAGGCAGAGAGCUGAUCAAAACAGCAAAAGCAAAGCAGUGCCCCUGGCCCAGUUCUGAAGCCAACCUUCCUUAAUCACCCAGACCCAUCCCUGGUUAGGACUUGCUGUGGAUUCUCACGUGACUCCAUCUCAGGCUACAGGGACUGAGAGGGUGUAUGCAACAUCUCAGACCCAGAAACCGUUGAUUCUGCCUAAAAACACAGCAAUAACCACAUCUCAUCCUCUUGAUUUAAAUGAAAGGGUAUGGGGGAAUAAAAGAUGAACCUUUUUUUUUCUUUGUCAGAUCUUGCGCUCAUUUGGUUCUGGUGGGGAACAACAGCUAUAAGAGAACAAGUGUAUUCAAUUAGAAUUAAUUCCCCCUCUUAUUCUCAUAGCUGAGCAGGGCUCAAGUGCCUCUCAUCUGAAAGAGGUAAUAAGAUUUAAUCUGUCUCCUCAUCUACCUUCUGCAAGUAUACUUAACAAAUUAGCUCUCGGGACUCUU